UACGAAGGGUGCAAGCGUUACUCGGAAUUACUGGGCGUAAAGGGUGCGUAGGUGGUUGUUUAAGUCUGUUGUGAAAGCCCCGGGCUCAACCUGGGAAUGGCAAUGGAUACUGGACAGCUAGAGUGCGGUAGAGGGUAGUGGAAUUCCCGGUGUAGAGGUGAAAUUCGUAGAUAUCGGGAGGAACACCAGUGGCGAAGUCGGAGACCUGGGCCAAUACUGACGCUGAGGUGCGAAAGCGUGGGGAGCAAACAGG
rnacentral:rRNA from 1 species